rnacentral:rRNA from 1 species
GACGAACGCUGGCGGCGUGCUUAACACAUGCAAGUGGAGCGACGAAACCGGGCUUGCCCGGUGGCAGAGCCGCGAACGGGUGAGUAACACGUGGGUAACCUGCCCCGAUGAUUGAGACAACUCCGGGAAACCGGAGCUAAUACCAAAUGUGUUCACAUUCCUGAAGGGGUGUGAGGAAAGGAAGCUUCGGCCUCCGCAUCGGGAUGGGCCCGCGGCCCAUUAGCUUGUUGGUGGGGUAACGGCCUACCAAGGCGACGAUGGGUAGCUGGUCUGAGAGGACGAUCAGCCACACUGGGACUGAGACACGGCCCAGACUCCUACGGGAGGCAGCAGUGGGGAAUCUUGCGCAAUGCGCGAAAGCGUGACGCAGCAACGCCGCGUGCGGGAAGACGGCCUUCGGGUUGUAAACCGCUUUCAGUUGGGACGAAGCUUCGCCGGUGAAUAGCCGGCUGGAGUGACGGUACCUUCACAAGAAGCACCGGCUAUCUACGUGCCAGCCGCCGCUGUAA